AUUGAACGCUGGCGGCAGGCCUAACACAUGCAAGUCGAACGAGUGGCGGACGGGUGAGUAAUGUCUGGGAAACUGCCUGAUGGAGAGGGAUAACUACUGGAAACGGUAGCUAAUACCGCAUACCAUGGGAUGGGCCCGGAUGGGAUUAGCUAGGAGGUGGGGUAACGCCUCACCUAGGCGACGAUCCCUAGCUAGUCUGAGAGGAUGACCAGCCACACUGGAACUGAGACACGGUCCAUACUCCUACGGGAGGCAGCAGUGGGGAAUAUUGCACAAUGGGCGCAAGCCUGAUGCAGCCAUGCCGCGUGUAUGAAGAAGGCCUUCGGGUUGUAAAGUACUUUCAGCGGGGAGGCGUUACCCACAGAAGAAGCACCGGCUAACUCCGUGCCAGCAGCCGCGGUAAUUC
rnacentral:rRNA from 1 species